rnacentral:sRNA from 1 species
GAGUCGGUUGGGCUGAGGCCCUGAGCCCCGACUGUCAGAAGGAGCCUGAGGCUGAGGUGGAGGCUGGGAGUUUGGGGCUGGUGGAUCCUCUGAAGGCCAUGGAAUCCUCCACGGGGCCCAGGAUGCCUUUGCUCAAAUACUGCAGCGUGGCCACAAGCCUGAAGGCCCCUGGCUGGGACGGUGCUGCUCCACCCUGGAACCUCUCCUUCACCUACCCCUUUGCCCUCCAAGCACCCUGGCUCACCGGGCACAAGCCCCUUGCAAGGCACGCCUCUUCUUGCCCGUGUCUCCACGUUGCCGACCCAGCAUGGCAGGGGCCUGGCUGGCUGGGAAGAGCUGGAGAUGCUGCCAACACAUGGGUCCUAGCAAGAAGGGAAGCAGAUGGUUUUUACUACCGGGCCCAAAUAAAGGCCGCUCCCGAGCUAACCCUUUCCUCGUUGACUGCAAGGGCAGUGCUGAGGGCGGCUCUGUGGCCACAAUCGCUCCUUGCCUACAUGAGCCUCAUAGGUGAACAACCAUCCUGUUGGUCUUGGACACAUCCCUGGUUGGUCUUGGACACA